UCAAGAAUGGCCAAGAUUUGGUUCUAUUCCGUUGACUCCGUUGACUGUGAUGGUCCUCCAGCACUAGCUGGACCUUGAACAGAUCCCAUGACAUGCUGCCCCUGGGUCCUCACCCCUUCUUUAUCCUGCUGCCUGCCCAAAGGAGCAAACAGAGCUUCCCAGAGGCUCCUAGCGUUUGAAAGGCAACCCGUUAGGGAGGGGUGAGACUUGAGGCUGAGGUUUCAGAGAGAAAGCGGUUUCAGAAACCCAGAGAAGUGAUGAUGAAGGCAAUGAUAACAGAGAGAAAAGUCCAGUGGCUGAGUCAACAUUGUUCUAUGUUCUUGACUGCACAUGCCAGACAGAGCCAGACAGAGCCACACCGAGUGUGAGCGCCAAAGUUCCUCGUUUCAGCCCUCGACCAGUACCUUUGUUUUCCUGCUCACUCACCUGCUCCUCACCUGCUAUCUUCACCCUGGUUAAUCUUCUAUGCGCCUCUAUCUGUCUUCUGCAUUUGUCUGAGGUUUGGUUUCUUCAUUCAUUGAUUUCAGACUCAGUUUCAAAACUCGUUUACUGUGAUUCAGCAGAAGGGUAGAAGACUUUUCCUCUGACCCUUCAUUGCCUCCAAAAUGUGCCUUCUAGAUGACAAUUUCACCUAACUUACUUAGCCCAGAACAGACUUAGAAACUGGAGCAAACUUCUUUAUUCUGAGCUUGGGGAUAAAUUUAUUGCAUUUUUGGAUCCAAGGAGCAAUUUCUCCUUUCUUAUCGUACAUCUUAGAACAGUGGUUCUUCAAGUGUUGGCUCCUGAUGAACAGUAUCAGCAUUCCCCAGGAACUUACUAAGAAGUGUAAAU
rnacentral:lncRNA from 1 species